UACGGAGGGUGCAAGCGUUAUCCGGAUUCACUGGGUUUAAAGGGUGCGUAGGUGGGUCUGUAAGUCAGUGGUGAAAUCUCCGGGCUUAACCCGGAAACUGCCAUUGAUACUAUAGGUCUUGAAUUUUCUGGAGGUAAGCGGAAUAUGUCAUGUAGCGGUGAAAUGCGUAGAUAUCUGGAGGAACACCGGUGGCGAAGGCGGCACCCUGGACCAACACUGACGCUGAGGAGCGAAAGCCAGGGGAGCAAACGGG
rnacentral:rRNA from 1 species